rnacentral:rRNA from 1 species
GAUGAACGCUGGCGGCGUGCCUAAUACAUGCAAGUCGAGCGAACGGACGAGAAGCUUGCUCCUCUGAUGUUAGCGGCGGACGGGUGAGUAACACGUGGAUAACCUACCUAUAAGACUGGGAUAACUUCGGGAAACCGUAGCUAAUACCGGAUAAUAUUUUGAACCGCAUGGUUCAAAAGUGAAAGACGGUCUUGCUGUCACUUAUAGAUGGAUCCGCGCUGCAUUAGCUAGUUGGUAAGGUAACGGCUUACCAAGGCAACGAUGCAUAGCCGACCUGAGAGGGUGAUCGGCCACACUGGAACUGAGACACGGUCCAGACUCCUACGGGAGGCAGCAGUAGGGAAUCUUCCGCAGUGGGCGAAAGCCUGACGGAGCAACGCCGCGUGAGUGAUGAAGGUCUUCGGAUCGUAAAACUCUGUUAUUGGGGAAGAACAUAUGUGUAAGUAACUGUGCACAUCUUGACGGUACCUAAUCAGAAAGCCACGGCUAACUACGUG